GUCGGGAUAGCUCAAUGGGUAGAGCACGGCACGUAUGCGCAGGUUCGAAUCCUGCUCUCGCCU
rnacentral:tRNA from 1 species